GGAGAGAUGGCUCAGUGGUUAAGAGCACUGGCUGCUCUUCCAGUGUACCUGGGUUCAAUUCCCAUCUCCCA
rnacentral:tRNA from 1 species